UGGUAUAGAAAUGUUUAGAAAAUUACACUUCUUUGAAUUGAACGGGCUGGCAGAAUCGAUUAGAUACAUGUUAUUUUACAGUGGUCUUGAAUUUGAAGACAUAAGGCAUGAUAUGAAAACGUGGCCAUUUCAGGAAAUCAAAGACUUGUUCUAUUUUGAGAUCUUCAAAGUAGAAAUACAGAAUAGGAUGCUAGUUAUACUACAUAUGACUUUCGCGUAGCAAUAUACUCCUUGACCCCAGGCAGAGAAUGGAUAUAAUUGACGAGAGCUACAAUGGUCGGGUAAUUCUUCUCAAUGUUUUCUUCUGUAUAUAAAUUGAGUGUCUCAAGUAUUCCAA